UGGGGAAUAUUGCACAAUGGGGGAAACCCUGAUGCAGCGACGCCGCGUGAACGAAGAAGGUAUUCGUAUCGUAAAGUUCUGUCCUAAGGGAAGAUAAUGACAGUACCAUAGAAGAAAGCUCCGGCUAAAUACGUGCCAGCAGCCGCGGUAAUACGUAUGGAGCGAGCGUUGUCCGGAAUUAUUGGGCGUAAAGGGUACGCAGGCGGUUUAAUAAGUCGAAUGUUAAAGAUCGGGGCUCAACCCCGCAAAGCAUUGGAAACUGAUAAACUUGAGUAGUGGAGAGGAAAGUGGAAUUCCUAGUGUAGUGGUGAAAUACGUAGAUAUCAGGAGGAAUACCAGUAGCGAAGGCGACUUUCUGGACACAAACUGACGCUGAGGUACGAAAGCGUGGGGAGCAAACAGG
rnacentral:rRNA from 1 species